rnacentral:rRNA from 1 species
AUACGGAGGAUCCGAGCGUUAUCCGGAUUUAUUGGGUUUAAAGGGUGCGCAGGCGGCCAGUUAAGUCAGCGGUUAAAUCGUGGGGCUCAACCCCAUUCUGCCGUUGAUACUGGGUGGCUUGAUUGCGGUCGAGGUUGGCGGAAUUCGUUGUGUAUCGGUGAAAUGCAUAGAUAUGACGAAGAACACCGAUUGCGUAGGCAGCUGACCAGACCGCAAAUGACGCUCAUGCACGAAAGUGCGGGGAUCGAACAGGAUUAGAUACCCUGGUAGUCCGCACAGUAAACGAUGAAUACUUGUUUUCGGCGAUAUAAUGUCGGAGGCAAAGCGAAAGCGAUAAGUAUUCCACCUGGGGAGUACGCCGGCAACGGUGAAACUCAAAUGAAUUGGCGGGG